UACGGGGGGGGCAAGCGUUGUUCGGAAUUACUGGGCGUAAAGAGCUUGUAGGCGGUUUGUCGCGUCUGCUGUGAAAUUUCGGGGCUCAACCCCGAACUUGCAGUGGGUACGGGCAGACUAGAGUGUGGUAGGGGAGACUGGAAUUCCUGGUGUAGCGGUGAAAUGCGCAGAUAUCAGGAGGAACACCGAUGGCGAAGGCAGGUCUCUGGGCCACUACUGACGCUGAGAAGCGAAAGCAUGGGGAGCGAACAGG
rnacentral:rRNA from 1 species